CCUGCCUGGGACAGAGCCUGACUGGGACAGAGCCUGCCUGGGACAGAGCCUGACUGGGAGAGAGCCUGACUGGGAGAGAGCCUGAAUGGGAGAGAACCUGCCUGGGACAGAGCCUGACUGGGACAGAGCCUGCCUGGGACAGAGUCUGACUGGGACAGAGCCUGACUGGGAGAGAACCUGCCUGGGACAGAGCCUGAAUGGGAGAGAACCUGCCUGGCACAGAUCCUGCCUGGGACAGAGCCUGCCUGGGACAGAGCCUGCCUGCUGCUCUCCCAGAGGGCAAUGUAGCACUUGCUCAAAAGUUCUCCAGGUGCAGGUCACUCAGAACAUGCUGGAGAGAUGUAGCCAAAGCUCUGCACAGCACAGGGGCCUCCGAUCGCAGGGGUCUGGAUGUGAUUUGACAAGGACUUUGGAAACAGCACUGACAGUGCUCUGAAAGCGCUGGGACCCUGUUAUAUUGUUAGAGAGAUUUUUUACCCUUGUGAAAACUAUUUUUUAAAGAUAUCUUCUACCUUUUUCUAUCUCUGGCCCAAAUGUAAGGAUUUUUAAUAGUGAAAACAAUGGAAAACCAGCCUUAGUUUGAAGAAUGCUUUCAGCCUUUCUUAUCAAAAUUUAUAAUCCUGUUAUUUUGGCUUUAUGAGACAGUGUAGAAACAGUGCUUAACCAAAGAACAAAAGGAUGUGCAUUCCUUCUGAAUUAGUCUCAGUUAAUGAUUCUCAGUUCUGUGCAUAAUAGCAAAUAAUAUCUCAUCAGCUAAAACCUCCAAGCUCAUUCUUGAGGACAUAUUUGUUUGAAAAUGAGAUGAAAGCCAGUACAAACUUUAUAUGACACCUUUUCAAACUAAUAAAAUUACUAUUUUUCUACAAAA